rnacentral:miRNA from 1 species
CCUGCCCUGCCAACCCCUACA